rnacentral:rRNA from 1 species
GACGUAGGGCGCGAGCGUUGUCCGGAAUUAUUGGGCGUAAAGGGCUCGUAGGCGGUCUGUCGCGUCGGGAGUGAAAACUUACAGCUUAACUGUGAGCGUGCUUCCGAUACGGGCAGACUUGAGGUAUUCAGGGGAGAACGGAAUUCCUGGUGUAGCGGUGAAAUGCGCAGAUAUCAGGAGGAACACCGGUGGCGAAGGCGGUUCUCUGGGAAUAUCCUGACGCUGAGGAGCGAAAGUGUGGGGAGCGAACAGG